ACUGCUUCUAAGCUAAUUUUUGUUGGUUUUAACCUCUUUUGGGAGAAAAUGGGUAUAAGUGUUAUCUAAACACUCCUAAUCCAUCUCUAACUCUUAUAAUUAGUCAAAAGCUUUGGAUUGUGACACAUUUUGACCAUAGAAACACUAACAAAGCUAUUUAGUGCUUCUAAGCAAUUUUUUGUUGGUUUUAGCCUCUUUUGGAAGAAAAUAGGUAUAAGUAUUGUCUAAACACUCCUAAUCCAUCUUUAACUCUUACAAUUAUUCAAAUGCAUUGGAUUGUGACACAUUUUGAGCAUAAAAACAUGAAUAAAUAUUUACUGCUUCUAAGCAAAUUUUUGUUGGUUUUAGCCUCUUUUGGGAGAAAAUGGGUAUAUGUGUUGUAUAAACACUCCUAAUCCAUCUCUAACUCUUAUAAUUAGUCAAAGGCUUUGGAUUGGGACACAUUUUGAGCAUAAAAACA
rnacentral:sRNA from 1 species